GACGAACGCUGGCGGCGUGCUUAACACAUGCAAGUCGAACGGAAAGGCCCUGCUUUUGUGGGGUGCUCGAGUGGCGAACGGGUGAGUAACACGUGAGUAACCUGCCCUUGACUUUGGGAUAACUUCAGGAAACUGGGGCUAAUACCGGAUAGGAGCUCCUGCUGCAUGGUGGGGGUUGGAAAGUUUCGGCGGUUGGGGAUGGACUCGCGGCUUAUCAGCUUGUUGGUGGGGUAGUGGCUUACCAAGGCUUUGACGGGUAGCCGGCCUGAGAGGGUGACCGGCCACAUGGGGACUGAGAUACGGCCCAGACUCCUACGGGAGGCAGCAGUGGGGAAUAUUGCACAGUGGGCGGAAGCCUGAUGCAGCAACGCCGCGUGCGUGAUGACGGCCUUCGGGUUGUAAACCGCUUUCGCCUGUGACGAAGCGUGAGUGACGGUAAUGGGUAAAGAAGCACCGGCUAACUACGUG
rnacentral:rRNA from 1 species